rnacentral:rRNA from 1 species
CCUACGGGAGGCAGCAGUGGGGAAUAUUGCACAAUGGGGGAAACCCUGAUGCAGCAACGCCGCGUGGGUGAAGGAGCGUUUCGGCGCGUAAAGCCCUGUCAGCGGGGAAGAAGAAAGACGGUACCCGACCAAGAAGCCCCGGCUAACUACGUGCCAGCAGCCGCGGUAAUACGUAGGGGGCGAGCGUUAUCCGGAAUUACUGGGUGUAAAGGGAGCGUAGACGGCGAGGUAAGCCUGAAGUGGAAGCCCGCGGCCCAACCGCGGAACUGCUUUGGGAACUGUUUUGCUGGAGUAUGGGAGGGGUAAGCGGAAUUCCUGGUGUAGCGGUGAAAUGCGUAGAUAUCAGGAGGAACACCGGUGGCGAAGGCGGCUUACUGGACCAUAACUGACGUUGAGGCUCGAAAGCGUGGGGAGCGAACAGGAUUAGAUACCCCAGUAGUC